CAAAUGUGCCACAUCACGUCGCACCAACGCCAGUGUUUGACGGAAAGACGGCACAAGAGGUCGGUGGUCAUCUCCAUCACUGUCUGUUUCUCUUGGACGCCAACAGUGUGUGAUUAAAACAGAUAUUAAUCAGGUCAUCAGCAGAACCAUUGGUUUGAUAUUUAUCAGGUAACCACGGCCCAUAAAAGGGGCUCGCGGUCGAUGGGCGGAGAGGGAGGCGCUUGGAUGGAGAAAUGACAACAUCUCUGAGACGUUCUGAGAGAAGCUCCAUUCACGAUUGACAUCUGAAGACGUUUGAAGAAACAUGGCCCCUCAAAGAAAACCCUCAAGCGUCAGUCAGCAGAUCUCUUCGUCUCCAUUAUACUUCGCUCUCUAUGUCAUUCUGGUGAUGCUGGGGAACGUGGGGAACACCACGGUCAUCGCAGUGGUCGGGGAAAGCCUUCUGCGCGAGACGGGAGCCGUCCGAAGCUCUGACGUGAUUCUGGUCAACAUGGCUUUCUCCAACCUGAUGGUGUCUUUGGUUAGAAACACAGUCGUGAUGGUGUCCGAUCUGGGA